AGCACCUGCCUAUAAUAAAUACAUCGUAGCCUACAAGAACACAACUGUUGCAACAGUAUUAGUAUUUUCAUCAGCAUCACAAAACUCCUUGUCUGAAAUGUGCCGAGAAAUUAAAAAUGUGUGUUAUUGAUAUAGCCUACACACACUAGUGGUCUGCAUUGCAACCCUGACAGAUUACACCCAGGUCGGCCUACAACAAACAUUUCCAUAAGAGUGGUGGAAAAAGACUUGUCCUUGGUUUAUUUUAGAAUUGGGUGUGACUACUAACUGGCAAUGGUCAGUCAUCCAUCCNNNNNNNNNNACUUCGUAAUUGGGGGAUCAUCAUAUUCAUGCGGGUUUAUUUUGCUUUGGAAUUCUUUAUCUGUUCUUGACAUGAUAUCUACGGCAGAUAGUUUUUUUUAACCAUGUCUUUUAUAAUUAAUUUGGCAAUCUGCUAAACUUUGGGGAGAGCAUACAAUAUUCUGUCUGUCGAUCACUUUGGAUACUGCGAGCUAUGUUGCCAAGAUGUUACAAGAGACCAAUGUUUCGUCCUUUUUUCUGGAAACAGUCUUAACGCUCUUAUUGCAAACAAAUGUAAAAGUACAAUGAUACAUUCAUACUGAAACCAAGGGAUUACACACAGAAGGACGGUGGAGAAUGGCUUCGAAGGAGAGGUUGAAUGAGCAGUGGAUUUUAUAUUACACCAAGGUAAGUUUAAUAGGGGGGGCUGACACCUGUUGUUGAAUUGCAAUUGUCCUAUAUUUGCUUGAAAGCUUUUUUCGAAGGUAUCACCGGAAAACAUGACUGCAGUGCACGCUACAGUUGGCAACCAUAUUUGCCAAUGCUUGUUGUUCUGAUAGUGAGCAGGCGGAAUCGUAUGAGGAAGUAUUUGGGAUUCAUGUAUGUAUUUUGAGCGUGUCGACUCAUAAAUUUCACCUCUGUCCAUAAACAGGCAGUUUUAUUCCGUGAUAUGCCAGCACUAUCUACGGUUUAGUUUAUCUGAUUUUGUGAAACAUUGUUCUAAUUCUAUGCUAGUAUAACUUGGCGUCGACAACUCUGGAUAUGGUUCCUUUACCUGCUGGCUACUGCCAAGGUCAGAGACGGAAUAGGAAGCGAGACACCCCACUCGCUGUUUCUUUCUGGUCCAGACCCAGCUGCUACUGAAUUAGUGUCUAUGGGAGACCCACCCCGUUAAGUAGACCGGAACGGACCAUUUUUUUCAAUGGUAAACUGCUUGAGUGAACCAUCUUCAUUUAUCCACCAUCUUUGGUCAGGUGCCCUCUUUACUUCCUGAAUGUAGUUCCUACUUGUCACAUGUAUGUUGUUCACUUUAGCAGAGUUGGGGUAGGCCUACAGAUAGUUAUCCUUCUCUUAUUUGUUUAACAGAUGAUUUCUUCAGGGAUAUGGGUCAUAGCAUAACAUAUUUGCAACAUUGUAUUGGCAGUGGUGUAGCGCGGUUUCACGGCCCCGCAAGGUCUGUGCAAUGGGGUAGAUAAAGAUAAAAAUGUGCCGUUUUAUAGCAAAUGUCGUGGUAUUUUACACAUUUUUGCCAUGAAGCUGAGAGAAAAUGUUCCAGUUUUAAAGCUAAUUUCCCCAAAACUCGUAGGCCGUGCGCUAUGCCAGGGUUUAUCAGUUUGUAGACUACUGCACCAGCACCUGCCUAUAAUAAAUACAUCGUAGCCUACAAGAACACAACUGUUGCAACAGUAUUAGUAUUUUCAUCAGCAUCACAAAACUCCUUGUCUGAAAUGUGCCGAGAAAUUAAAAAUGUGUGUUAUUGAUAUAGCCUACACACACUAGUGGUCUGCAUUGCAACCCUGACAGAUUACACCCAGGUCGGCCUACAACAAACAUUUCCAUAAGAGUGGUGGAAAAAGACUUGUCCUUGGUUUAUUUUAGAAUUGGGUGUGACUACUAACUGGCAAUGGUCAGUCAUCCAUCCCUUUUCACGAUUCCCUUUUUGAAUGAAAACAUAUUGCCUGGAAAUUAAUUAAUGAUACUAAAUUAUUCACUAGAUUUUGCAAUCUGUUUCAAAUGCCUAAGGAAAAGUUGCAAUGAGUACUGCGGUCUUUUACUAUUAUGUUACAUGCCUAUUUUGAGGUGCAGUUGGUGACAUUCCCUUCUACACCCAUGCAACCAUACCUAGGCCUUCCUCUCCUCUCCCUAUUCCCUCCUACCUCAUAGCUUGAGGCACUGGCAGGCAUUGAGGGGUUAAACAUGGCAGAAGACAAAGCAGAUGGACCUGUUUCAGCAGGUAGAAGAGCAGACAGAGGAGGGCCCCUCCCUCACUAGGCCUACCUCCUGUCCUGUUGGUUCACUAACAGAGGAGGGCCCCUCCCUCACUAGGNNNNNNNNNNAGCACCUGCCUAUAAUAAAUACAUCGUAGCCUACAAGAACACAACUGUUGCAACAGUAUUAGUAUUUUCAUCAGCAUCACAAAACUCCUUGUCUGAAAUGUGCCGAGAAAUUAAAAAUGUGUGUUAUUGAUAUAGCCUACACACACUAGUGGUCUGCAUUGCAACCCUGACAGAUUACACCCAGGUCGGCCUACAACAAACAUUUCCAUAAGAGUGGUGGAAAAAGACUUGUCCUUGGUUUAUUUUAGAAUUGGGUGUGACUACUAACUGGCAAUGGUCAG
rnacentral:lncRNA from 13 species